AGAGUUUGAUCAUGGCUCAGAACGUACGCUGGCGGCACGCCUAACACAUGCAAGUCGAACGCAGUAGCAAUACUGAGUGGCAAACGGGUGAGUAUAAUGUGGGAAUCUGCCUUUUGGUUUGGAAUAACACGGGGAAACUUGUGCUAAUACCGAAUAAGCCCUUACGGGGAAAGUUUUAAUGCCAAAAGAUGAGCCCGCACUUGAUUAGCUAGUUGGUAAGGUAAAAGCUUACCAAGGCAACGAUCAAUAGCUGUUCUUAGAGGAAGACCAGCCACAUUGGGACUGAGACACGGCCCAGACUCCUACGGGAGGCAGCAGUGGGGAAUCUUGCACAAUGGGGGAAACCCUGAUGCAGCGAUGCCGCGUGAGUGAAGAAGGCCCUUGGGUUGUAAAACUCUUUCGUCGGGGAAGAAAAUGACUGUACCCGAAUAAGAAGGUCCGGCUAACUUCGUGCCAGCAGCCGCGGUAAUACGAAGGGACCUAGCGUAGUUCGGAAUUACUGGGCUUAAAGAGCUCGUAGGUGGUUAAAAUAGUUGAUGGUGAAAUCCCAAGGCUCAACCUUGGAACUGCCAUCAAAACUUUUUAGCUAGAGUGUGAUAGAGGUAAGUGGAAUUUCUAGUGUAGAGGUGAAAUUCGUAGAUAUUAGAAAGAACACCAAAUGCGAAGGCAACUUACUGGGUCACUACUGACACUGAGGAGCGAAAGCAUGGGUAGCGAAGAGGAUUAGAUACCCUCGUAGUCCAUGCCGUAAACGAUGUGUGCUAGACGUUGGAAAUAUAUUUUUCAGUGUCGCAGCGAAAGCAUUAAGCACACCGCCUGGGGAGUACGACCGCAAGGUUAAAACUCAAAUGAAUU
rnacentral:rRNA from 1 species